UACGUAGGGUGCAAGCGUUGUCCGGAAUUAUUGGGCGUAAAGAGCUUGUAGGCGGUUUGUCGCGUCUGCUGUGAAAUUUCGGGGCUCAACCCCGAACUUGCAGUGGGUACGGGCAGACUAGAGUGUGGUAGGGGAGACUGGAAUUCCUGGUGUAGCGGUGAAAUGCGCAGAUAUCAGGAGGAACACCGAUGGCGAAGGCGGGUCUCUGGGCAACAACUGACGCUGAGGAGCGAAAGCGUGGGGAGCGAACAGG
rnacentral:rRNA from 1 species